UUGAACGCUGGCGGCAUGCCUUACACAUGCAAGUCGAACGGUAACAGGUCUUCGGAUGCUGACGAGUGGCGAACGGGUGAGUAAUACAUCGGAACGUGCCCGAUCGUGGGGGAUAACGCAGCGAAAGCUGUGCUAAUACCGCAUACGAUCUACGGAUGAAAGCAGGGGACCGCAAGGCCUUGCGCGGACGGAGCGGCCGAUGGCAGAUUAGCUAGUUGGUGGGGUAAAAGCUCACCAAGGCGACGAUCUGUAGCUGGUCUGAGAGGACGACCAGCCACACUGGAACUGAGACACGGUCCAGACUCCUACGGGAGGCAGCAGUGGGGAAUUUUGGACAAUGGGCGCAAGCCUGAUCCAGCAAUGCCGCGUGCAGGAUGAAGGCCUUCGGGUUGUAAACUGCUUUUGUACGGAACGAAACGGUUCUCUUUAAUAAAGAGGGCUAAUGACGGUACCGUAAGAAUAAGCACCGGCUAACUACGU
rnacentral:rRNA from 1 species